rnacentral:rRNA from 1 species
ACAUUGUCUGGUGGGUAGUUUGACUGGGGUGGUCGCCUCCUAAAAUGUAACGGAGGCGUUCAAAGGUCCCCUCAAGGCGAAUAGAAAUCGCCUUAUUGAGUGUAAAAGCAGAAGGGGGCUUGACUGCGAGACAAACAAGUCGAGCAGGUGCGAAAGCAGGAUUUAGUGAUCCAGUGGUUCUGAAUGGAAGGGCCAUUGCUAAACGGAUAAAAGGUACGCCGGGGAUAACAGGCUGAUUUCUUCUGAGAGUCCAUAUCGACGAGGAAGUUUGGCACCUCGAUGUCGGCUCAUCGCAUCCUGGGGCUGGAGAAGGUCCCAAGGGUUUGGCUGUUCGCCAAUUAAAGCGGUACGCGAGCUGGGUUCAGAACGUCGUGAGACAGUUCGGUCCAUAUCCUCUGUGGGCGCAGGAGAUUUGAGGAGAACAUUCCCCAGUACGAGAGGACCGGGAAUGACGCACCCCUGGUGUUCCAGUUGUCGCGCCAGCGGCACCGCUGGGUAGCUAUGUGCGGAACGGAUAAGCGCUGAAAGCAUCUAAGCGCCAAGCCUCCUCCAAGACUAGAUCUCCCUUCCCUUCGGGGACUGUAGGCAGGUCGAAGACUACGACCUUGAUAGGCCGGGUGUGUAAGCGUGGCGACACGUUGAGCUAACCGGUACUAAUCCGCCGUGAGACUUGACCAUUUU